rnacentral:rRNA from 1 species
AUUUAGCACACACAGUGCCGCCCAAGGCUCCCAUUCCCGGGCCACGCCUGGCUGAGGGCAGGC